CCAGUCCUCCACUGCGAUGCCUUCGUCACGCCGCAGUCGCUGCUUCUCCCCGCCGUCACGGUGGCCGGCGGGGACGGUGGGAGGGGAGCGUCAAGGAUGGCCAUUGUGUCUGUGACAACUCUAGAUAAGUUAAACUUGGUUAAGCUUAAAUAAGAAGAUUAGAACCUCAAUUAGCACUUGAAAAGUCCAAAUUGCCCUCAAGAAGCUUAAAUUGGUGUCAACUCAAAACUUGAAAUUUUAUAUAGCAACUUGAAUUUUUGUCAAUCUAAGAGUUGUAGAACAUUACUUUUAC
rnacentral:lncRNA from 1 species